AAUCAAUGGUGUGGGCAUUGCAAUAGAAGUUAUUUAAAGCGAUCCCAUGCUUCAUGAAAAGAUUCAGCAUUCUCUCGAUAAAAAUUAGAAAUUUCAACUCUUAAUUC
rnacentral:snoRNA from 1 species